CGAGUAAGACAGGCAGUCGCGCGGCCAGGCCGAAAGGCCGGUCGUGAGGAAAGUCCGGGCUCCACAGGGCAAGGAUAACGGGUAACGCCCGCCGAAGGCGACUUCAGGAAAAGUGCAACAGAGAUAUACCGCCCCGUCGUCGCAAGCUCCAUAUCCUUCGCUGUCAUCAGCGCAACCCACGAUGACGGCGCCGUUCCACGUUGGUUCGGCAGGAUACAGUGCGUGCAGCGCCACUGCGUCCCCCACUCCGGAAAGAACCCAGCGAAGCGGUUCUUUUCGGAAGAGGAGGAGCAGCGGAAUGAGUGAGCUUUCGCCGCAAGGCGGAAGCGAAGGAUAUGGAGCUUGCGACGACGAGGUAAGGGUGGAAAGGUGCGGUAAGAGCGCACCCGACGGCUGGAGACUGUCCGUCGCUGUAAACUCUAUCCGGAGCAACACCGGUAUGGGAGCAGGGGGUCCGACCCCCAAGGCUGGCCCGGCCGCUCCCGGGGUGGCUGGAGCGUAUCGGCAACGAUGCGUCGAGAUAGAUGACUGUCAAAUACAGAACCCGGCUUACAGUCUUGCUCGUACA
rnacentral:RNase_P_RNA from 1 species